AGAAGCAUGUGAGAAAGUUUCCUUAUAAUGGCAGGCUAAUGAGGGUACUGUCAUGACUGAAGGAUUACAGCUCUGAAGGGAAAGAUAUCCUGGCAGUCAGGAGCUAAGGAAUACCACAACAUCACUCUGCACAACAAACCUAACAUGAGAAAUUUGGGGGAAAACCAAUAAAGGAUGGCUGCCUCUGCUCAGGAGAGAAGCAGCAGAGAACCAAGCAGGAGGUCCUGCCUACAGGUUCCUGCCCCAUUUGAGUUCCUGUCCUGGCUUCCCUCAGUGAAGAACUCUGAAGAGAAAGUAUGAGCCAAAUAAAGCCUACCUCCCCAGGUUGCUCUGUCCGUGGUGUUUCAGCCCUGCUCGGCAGCAUUCUAUUAGAGCAACACAAGAUGAACUGCAGGGAAACCCGUUGAAAUAUCCAGGACUCGUGGAGGAAGGUGCAUACUGACAUCCAGUACCAAGAUGGAUCUCGAGGUGGUGUACAAUUUAAACCUGGUUCAGAAAGCAGUGAGAGAGACCAAGACAAAACCAGGACCUCCAGGAUCGUUUGGUCUUCGCUAGAAAAUCUGACAAGAAAAGCUGGGAAAUGGCAUUAUGCAAGGAAGAGAAGAAAG
rnacentral:lncRNA from 1 species